rnacentral:misc_RNA from 1 species
AAACACUUCAUAAAGUCUCUCCCAUUCGAUAAGCCGUGAUGUAUUUUUACGUGCUAUAAAUUUUGAAUACCUGCAAUUGUACCUGAAGACAGAGUUAAUUUUUUGUGCUACCUUUCUGGAUUGGAUCGUUAAGUGUUUGAUUGAAUUCGGGACCACAAGAACGAUUUCUGUGUGAAUUAAAUAAUUAUUAUCAUUGUUAUUAUGGAAGUAUUGCGACUUGCUAGCAUAAUGGUGCUGGUCAUCGUUCUUUUGCAACUUUUAACCAUAGAGGAUACAAUUGCCUUUAAAGACCUUAUGACCGAUCCAGAUACAUUUUCCAACCUUGAGACCAACGAAGAGGAGCCCCGGAGUGGGGGAAGGCGUCCUGUGGACAGCAAGACAGUUGGCUUCAGUUCAUAAGGAGGGGGUCAAAAAGACCCACCAAACCCACCCCUAAAAAGCGAAAAAACAAGCGUCUUCAGAGACUGGGGUGCAAAGCUGGUCCAGCGGGACCCCAAGGCCCACCGGGACCCCCAGGUCCAAAAGGGGCAAAGGUCACGGUACAGGAGCUCAUGACCGAGUUUUUGGAUAUCGUGAAAGAGGCUGCAGAAAAACAAGCAGAGAAAAUGGUCAUUGAGAGAUGUGGGAUGUGCGCUUCGGCCAUGAACAGUAGCGGAGCGGAAGUACCCUUCUUUGCCGCUGACGUCAUGGCCCUACCGAGGAUAACAUCUGGAUUUCAUCUUCGUUUAAAAAAGAAUGUCCUAGUGGAUAGCAAAACAUUCAUAGAACUCCAUUCUUUUCAUCAACCCUUCGCCGCCGGAUCAUUCCAGAGAGGGAACGCUUUUAACAUCCGAAAUGGUCGUUUUACGGCUCCCAAAACAGGGAUAUACCAGUUCUCUGCCAAUCUACAUAUUCGCUUGAAGCGGAAAGGCAGGAGAUUCAAACUCAAGAAGAAAGACUCCAUAAAAUCCCAGAUUUGCAUAAAUUCGUUAUGUAAUAAAUAUGUAUCCUUGAGCCAUGUCAUUGGUGUAGAAAGCAAUAGUAAAACAUUCACCGUCAGUUUUUCUGGAUUUGUGGAAUUAGAGCAAUCACAGUACGUUUCAGUGUACAUAGACAACUCAUCAAAAAUGGACAUUGUUGUGCUUAAAAAUUCGGAGUUUACAGGAAUCAUGAUGGGCACGUGAGCUGUGCAUUCUUGUUGCGCAUCUCGCUAGUUUCAGUCACGCCUCUAAUGACGUAACGCCACAUCACGUGACGGGUUCGCGUUGGGUUGUAGACGUUUUCAAGAAGUCUCUUGAUUAUUCCGGGAAAUGAAAGUUCCGGACUGAGAUUGUUGAUAAUUCGGCGUUGUUCUUUUUUCUUUUAAUUUAUUGUAUAGAUAUUGUUUUAUUUCAUGAAUAUAUGUUUUUUGCUCAUUAUGAUAUUUUAAAUCUCAAUUUUACUCUUAUUGUAAUUCAUUUGUUAUCAGUUUUUGUUUAUUUAAAAAAUAAUAAAAUGAACCACGU